rnacentral:misc_RNA from 1 species
UGGUUCUGGCAUCGAUGAAGAACGCAGCGAAAUGCGAUAAGUAAUGUGAAUUGCAGAAUUCCGUGAAUCAUCGAAUCUUUGAACGCACAUUGCGCCCUUUGGUAUUCCGAAGGGCAUGCCUGUUCGAGCGUCAUUAAAACCCUCAAGCUCUGCUUGGUGUUGGGCUUUGUCUGCUAAGGACAAGCCUGAAAAUCAGUGGCGAUGCCCUAUGGCUUCAAGCGUAGUAAUCUAUUUUCUCUUGAUAAGCCUGUGGGUUGUCUGCCAUAACAACCUAUACAUUUUUCUCUAGGUUGACCUCGGAUCAGGUAGGAAUACCCGCUGA